AGCCGACUCAUGCCAUGCUUGUGGUACAUUUUUCGUUUAUUAGCCUAUACACUUGUACGCACGCGCACAAUUUGUGGUAGCUAUACUAAAGAUAAAGCGUGCGUUCAAAAUACCAACAAGAACUAGAGCCAUUAUUGUAUCAUUUGUAUGGUUCUCAUUUGCUAGACUUGCCACAAGUCGACCUCGAAGAAACGCAUUUCGUUCGAGGUCGACUUGUGGCAAGUCUACUCAUUUACAAUAACAUUAGUUCGACGCGAAUUUUAAUACAAGUAUGGUAUCAUAUUUCAUAAUACAACAAACAAUGUAAACUAGCCAUACAUUUUGCCGAACAUAACUUCGGCCCAUUUGGACAUAUUUUUUUCGUGAUAAUGUUAUUGGAACCAGAAUCGAAAACACUAUUUAUAGUGUUAUUUUCAAGCUUGUGUCUUGAGAUUUUCAUCUUUUAUUUCGGUAUUUACAGAAUAUUUAUAUUUUUAGCGCGGCCCAUGGAACGCACAUGAAAACAACGCGCUGUUAGGAAAACCGGAAAUCGAUUCUGUAGGUCGGCAUGAUUUGCACGUGCAUCGAUCUCCAUUACGUCUCCCGAAAAGGUCUUUUAUUUUUUUAAAAAGUCCAUAAAAUUUGCUUGCGGUUUAAGAUUUGUAUUCCUGCCUUUUGCACCAUAGCACGUAUCUCGUUAUUUUCAGGCCAGUGUGAACGCCUGAGCAGGCGUCUUGUUAAAUCAUAGGUCAGAGCCGGGGGCCAGUUGUUCAAAGGUGGGUUAGCGCUAACCCUGGGUUAAAAUUGAACCCGCUGUUUGGUUUGUGUGUUUCUACACGUCCGUGUUUAUUUCAAAACUUCAGAGAAGUAAACUCUUGUCGACCCAGACAAGAUUUCUGAAGAAACAUUUCCAGAUUCUUAGACAAGCUUUCGGGAAGUUUGCUUUGAAUUUUAGGUUAACCUAGGGUUAAGCUGAUGGACGUUCGAACAACCGCGGCCCCAGUGGUUAAUUUAAAUCAAUUAAACAGUCCAAUAGCCGUUAAGAGACUUUAAUAUCCGAAGAUUAGCAUCUUGAAACUCAAGAUAGGAGUCAAAACAAGUCGAUACUGCCUGUAAUUUCCUUUGUAAUUACGUCAUGCCAUAUCAGCUUGUAUAGAAGAUCGUUAUGUAUUGUAACUUUAGUUAGUUUGAUGAUGAUUUUUAAACAAAAUCGAAAUAUCACAAACUCAUUCUUGUCCUGUUUUGACUCAUAUAUCGAGUCUCAAGAUGCUAUGGAAUCUUCGGAUUGUGUUUUGUCUUAUAAAUAGCUAUUUAUUUCUCGCCCACCCAUUUCCCCUCGCUCUUUCUUUCGCCUUCGCCUUUGCCUCCCCCUAGCUUCCCCUCCCCCUCCCCUCCCCCCAUAAUAGCGCAUGCUAAGCAGGCUAUAAAAAGUUUGACACCUGGAUGUGUUUGGAAACCCAGGAACUACAGAACAGAACUAAAGAAACAGUCACAGGAUUUUCAGGAACAGUCUAGCAUGCCCAAUUAUACAGUGGGCUCACAAUUCAGAAAUAAAACUGUUGAGAAAAAUUGGCGGGAAAAUUACUUAUUCGUCGCAAAAACUGGCGAAAGAUAAUUAUUUGGAUUUAUGUAAGUCUUCGAAAUCUUGCAAUUCCUGUAGACCCUGGGUUUCCAAACACAGCACCCUACCUACAGCAAGCAACAAGGUCAGCAAAACCCGACCACAUGCAUAGCUACAGUAACAGUAUCUUACCUUCAAAUACAUUCAGUAAUAUAUAUAUAUAUAUAUAUAUAUAUAUACACAGCUAAUUCAAUAAAGGUUGUCCUUUGAAAACCUUAAACUGUAAAACCUUAAACUCUAAGCGCAAAGCAUUAUGGGAGUACGAUUUAAGCAGUUUAGAAAGCAUAUAUGGAGCCCAUUUCUUAGAGACAUGGUAAAUAUCUCCCUGCGAAAACAUUUCACUCACAAACAGCUGCAAUAUUCAACUACUAAGCUUGAAAUCAGUGCUCCCAUUAUGCUUUGCGCGCUUAGAGUUUAAGGUUUAGGGUUUAGAGUUUAAGGUUUGCAGAGGACAACCAGUUUUUGAAUUGGCUGUGUAUAUAUAUAUAUAUAUAGAUCACCUACAUUCAAUUGCUAUAUAAAGUCCCAUUUAAAGUCCUUUGUUGAAGUAUACAGUCUGCACGUCAGGACCUUGGCUUGCUCGUAUUUUGUCGCGAAGUUGCGGUUCAAGGUGCUCCACUUUCAUUGAAC